UUUCCUACACAUAUAAAGACGGUUUGGAAAGUGCUACCUGUAAUGUAAGAACUGCAUUCCAUCAAGUCAUCAUUGCCCGGCAUGACAAGAGUCAGCAGCCAAGAGGAGGAGCCCUGCUGGCUUACCUGAUGCUUAUUGUACUGCAGAAGUAAUAUACAGCAUUGAAAUCCAGGUCCAGGCGCAGAAUUAGAGUGUUGAGAAAGACCUGUUCCCAAGUCUUGUUGGGUCUGGUGGGGCAAAUCACACCCUAAGAGCUCUGUGAGUGAAGGUGGAAAGGCCGGAGAGGAAAGUAAUGGAAAGGGGGUGGUAAACGAGACCUUCGGAGAGCUAGGCGACACCCUAACCUAAUUUCUCUCUCUCUCUCUCUUUCUCUCCAACCUGCAGCCUCUAACCCCAACCGAACUCUUCCAACUUCAGCUAGUGGAGAGGAAAAGCAAUCUCCUCGCUUGGUUGCCGCUGUGAGAUUUGAUUUGCCUUCUUCCCAGCGUGACAAUUGGUUCUAUAGUCCGGAUGCGAUAGCGUUCAUUGUACAGAGGCCAGAUGCAACGAGCGAGCGGAGCAGGAGUUCU